CGUGAGUGAUGAAGGCUUUCGGGUCGUAAAGCUCUGUCAAGUGGGAAGAACCUGCUAGAUACUAAUACCAUCUAGCACUGACGGUACCACUAAAGGAAGCACCGGCUAACUCCGUGCCAGCAGCCGCGGUAAUACGGGGGGUGCAAGCGUUAUUCGGAAUUAUUGGGCGUAAAGGGCGCGUAGGCGGUCUCUAAAGUCAGAUGUGAAAGCCCGGGGCUUAACCCCGGAAGUGCAUUUGAGACUUAGGGACUUGAGUAUGGGAGAGGGAAGUGGAAUUCCUGGUGUAGCGGUGAAAUGCGUAGAUAUCAGGAGGAACACCAGUGGCGAAGGCGACUUCCUGGACCAAUACUGACGCUGAGGCGCGAAGGCGUGGGGAGCAAACAGGAUUAGAUACCCUGGUAGUCCACGCAGUAAACGGUGAACACUAGGUGUAGCGGGUAUUGACCCCUGCUGUGCCGCAGCUAACGCAUUAA
rnacentral:rRNA from 1 species